UACGUAGGUGGCAAGCGUUAUCUGGAUUUACUGGGUGUAAAGGGAGCGUAGACGGCAGAGCAAGUCUGAAGUGAAAGCCCGCGGCCCAACUGCGGGACUGCUUUGGAAACUGCCCGGCUAGAGUGCUGGAGAGGUAAGCGGAAUUCCUAGUGUAGCGGUGAAAUGCGUAGAUAUUAGGAGGAACACCAGUGGCGAAGGCGGCUUACUGGACAGUAACUGACGUUGAGGCUCGAAAGCGUGGGGAGCAAACAGG
rnacentral:rRNA from 1 species